CCGGUUCACUGUAUUGCAUCGUUAAAGACAUUAUCAUUUAAAUGAAGCGUUAAAUGAACUCUUUCAGUGUUUCCUGUUCCUUGUACCCUGUUAGCAUGAGAUGCUAGCAGUGUUAGCAUUGUUACACUUUAGUUCCUUCGGUUUCAUUACUUAUUAGCCAUGUUAGCAUUUUGGAUUCUAAUGUUAAAUGAACUCAUAUAGCACAGAUUUUUUUUUUUCUUCACCGUUCAUUUGUGUCCGGUAGGCAUGAUGCUAAUGCGUUCUCCCUAGCUAAUCAGUCCUGCUUAGCUUCAUAUGCGGUUUAUCAUUUUACAUUUUAAAUGAAAAUUUACAUUUAGUCUUCAAUUCGUUUUUAAACAGUUGUAGCUAGACUAACACUUACAGUGUCCGAUUAGCAUGAUGCUAAUGUGUUUGUGCUAACUGAUCAUAUCUAUUUAGUUCCAUUCGUUAUUUGCUGUGUUAGCAUUUUUUAUUAAAAGGUUAAAUGAACUAUUAUGGUGCUGAAUUAACAGCUAAAGCUGAACUCUAUUUCUGCAAUUAUUCAGUGUUUAUUUGUAUCCAGUUAGCAGGAUGCUAAUGUGCUCGUGCUAGCUAAUCAUUCCUAUUUAGACGCUAUUCAGUGUUUACUAUGCUAGCAUUUCCCACAGAAUCUAUAAGUAACUCAUUUGUAGUAACAUUUACAGUGUUGUAUUAUCUGUUAGCGAUCGUGCAUGUCCAAUUAGCUUGAUGCUAACGUGAUCCUUUUCAGUUCUUUUUAUUAGUUAGCAUUCUGAAAUGAAUGCCACACUCUUACAGUGUGGAAUGAACAUUGUACCAUAUCCAGUUAGCAUCAGGCUAAUCCGACCACUCUAGGUUUGUUUCUUAUUUUUUCUUCUCGUUCACAUUGUUUUUGGAUGAAGUAUUGCCUGAAGGUCAAGCUUAGCCAGCACAUAAUUACAGGGGAGGAUUCAGACAGCACACGCAUCGCCAGCCACCAGACUCCAUGUCGGCCAUCAUGCUCGGUUUGCCAUCGGGUCAGCCGUCGGUCACACACUCAUCCCGAGGUCAGAACCAGAGACUCUUAGGCUGCUCCUAGAAAAACUCUGGAAGGAAUUAAACAAACAGCUCGGGGUAAAAGAUAAACAUUUAAACACAGACACGGGUUUGUUACAUUAGUGCUAAUUUCCAUUUAAUGCUACUAGAUUUACUUUUUCUAGUAAGCAGCAUGUUUAUUUAGUUGAAUUAAUUAUUAUAGGAAUAAGAGCUUUAUGCUAAGUCUUUAUGCUAAGUAUUUAUGCUUCUAUAGUUUAGUAAUCACUUCUGAAAAGAUUGGAAUCUGGUGUAACAAAAGAUUAAGCUAAACAUUUGUGCACUUGUAAUGUCCAUACAGUUCAUUUAGCAUUGUGCAAAGCUGACUUAAUAUGCAACAAGGGCGAAAAAUAGCUUAGCUUCUCUCUGCUAAUUGCAAUUUUUCCAAACUUUACCAGUCCAGGUUGAGUGAACGGUUCGAUUUAGUAAAAGAAGUCAUUUUGAUGGUUUUACACAUAAACCCUUAAACUCUUAACAGCUCAAGCAAAAAAAAAUAAAUAAAAGAGAACCGUAGAGCUAAUUAGCAUUUAAACGAAGAAUUGCAAAGUUUUUUCCUCUUGUGUGAUAUCAUUCUUUUUCAGGAAAAUCAUACAGAUCCGUAAACUGCGUGAACUCACGCUCAGAACGAGAUCGGAAAAGAUUUAUUUUCCACUGCGG
ensembl:lncRNA